rnacentral:rRNA from 1 species
GAUGAACGCUGGCGGCGUGCUUAACACAUGCAAGUCGAACGAAGCACUUUAUUUGAUUUCCUUCGGGACUGAUUAUUUUGUGACUGAGUGGCGGACGGGUGAGUAACGCGUGGGUAACCUGCCUUGUACAGGGGGAUAACAGUUGGAAACGGCUGCUAAUACCGCAUAAGCGCACAGCAUCGCAUGAUGCAGUGUGAAAAACUCCGGUGGUAUAAGAUGGACCCGCGUUGGAUUAGCUAGUUGGUGAGGUAACGGCCCACCAAGGCAACGAUCCAUAGCCGACCUGAGAGGGUGACCGGCCACAUUGGGACUGAGACACGGCCCAAACUCCUACGGGAGGCAGCAGUGGGGAAUAUUGCACAAUGGGCGAAAGCCUGAUGCAGCGACGCCGCGUGAGCGAAGAAGUAUUUCGGUAUGUAAAGCUCUAUCAGCAGGGAAGAUAAUGACGGU